rnacentral:lncRNA from 1 species
CAACAGCCAACUUUAUUCGGAGCAUCAGACAAUUUAUACUUUGAGAGUUAAGAGGAGUCACGUGAGUAGAGCGUAUCAUCACAAGGGCAAGCCACAUGGAGCAAAGAUUUUUUUUUUCAUAGAGACAUAGGAACCAAUAACAGUAGCUCGUUGUAAUGAAUGAUCUGAAGUAAGCUCACUCCUUUCUGCUACACCUGGGAAGGGCACAAAAGCACAUUCCGAGGAAUAUUCCUUGUUUUGGAAGAAACUGAGAUCACGAGACUCUUGUUUCCUUGGAGUUUUCCCACAGGCACUCAGAAUUCUCCUUGCAUGACUCCAUUCUUGAACCAUGUUCCAACAACUGACGUUGAGGUUAUUAGUGGUUUCUUUUUGAUAUGUAGGGUUCUACGUCACUCCAUAUUUUCAUUUUGAAGUGUGCACAAAUAUCUAUUGUGGCUGAUUUUCUGUUUUUUGUUUUUUUGAGCUAGGGUGUUAGGUAGCCCAGGCUAGACUCCAACUGGAUGUAUUGCUGAGGACGAUCCUGAACUGCUGACCCUCUAUCCUCUACCUCCAAGCCGUGAGCUUCCAGUUUGAACCAUUUUUAUCCAGAUCGAAAGAGGCAGGAAGACUCUAGAAGACAUUUGAGCUGUACAGCCCCCACCCUCUCCCCAGCCUCUAGCCACAGUCCCAGUGAUGCGCUGCAAGCUGAAUAGGAUGCUCACACUGCCCCUGCUUUUUCAAUACUGAGAAGUCAGGAAGAACUCAAGUUGGCUGUGAUUCUCAAGGGUGAGCGGAUUCUGACGGCGUAUCCUAGCAACCACUGAAAAGAACCCCACGUCAAGGGAUACAAGCUCCAGGAGCCGAUUCGCAAUGGCCACUGAGAUGCAGCGAGAAGUCCCGUGGCCUAGGCAACAACCCACAGGUUGAAACCCGCAAGCGUGAGCUGACCCUGCCGUCAGGAUGCUGAAGAGACACCGUGAGAGCAACAGUGUGAGCGGGGCCAAAGGCUGCCUCAUAAAUAUGGCCCUAAAUCAAAACGCUGAGAGUCCAGGCUUGGAGCUGGAGCAGGAGCCAGACAAAACCACUUCAUCUGUAAAGAACUAAAGGUCAUGGACCGCUUUCAAAUAAAUCCCUCUAAUCUAAUGACAAAUGACAUUUGCUUCUAUAAAGCCACACAAUGCUCAAUGAGAUGCUAAUAAUGAGGCCUCACAAGAAUGAAAACGACUUCCAUUACUCUCCUCAUAAAUUUGGACAGCUCUGAUUGUUAGCCAAGUAGCCAGUGCAGAAUGCUAAUGCCCAAGGCACCUUCUCUCUCGCUGCCAAGGAAGAAAUCCAGGUUGGGCUGAGCAAACAGAAGGUGGGGAAGGAAGACAGGAAUCUGCUCUCCCUCUCUUCCUCCCUGCCCUCCAUAACCCAUGUCUCUGUUCUCUCAGUGAAGAGAACUCGCAGCCAUCCUCCUGCCCCUGACUUCUAAAUACAGUGAUGACGAGAAUAUGCCACUAGGCCCAAACAACAAACCAACUUUUUUUGUUUUGUUUUGUUUUUCUGACACAGGCUCUCACUAUGCAUCCCUGGUUAUCCUGGAACUCACAAUGUAGACCAGGCUGGCCUUGAACUCACAGAGACCCUCUUGACUCACCCUUCUCAAUGCUGGGAUU